rnacentral:rRNA from 1 species
AUUGAACGCUGGCGGCAUGCCUUACACAUGCAAGUCGAACGGCAGCACGGGUGCUUGCACCUGGUGGCGAGUGGCGAACGGGUGAGUAAUACAUCGGAACAUGUCCUGUAGUGGGGGAUAGCCCGGCGAAAGCCGGAUUAAUACCGCAUACGAUCUACGGAUGAAAGCGGGGGACCUUCGGGCCUCGCGCUAUAGGGUUGGCCGAUGGCUGAUUAGCUAGUUGGUGGGGUAAAGGCCUACAAAGGCGACGAUCAGACGCUGGUCUGAGGGGACGACCAGCCAGACUGGGACUGAGAAACGGCCCAGAUUCCUACGGGAGGCAGCAGUGGGGAAUUUUGGACAAUGGGCGAAAGCCUGAUCCAGAAAGGCCGCGUGUGUGAAGAAGGCCUUCGGGUUGUAAAGCACUUUUGUCCGGAAAGAAAUCCUUGGCCCUAAUACGGUCGGGGGAUGACGGUACCGGAAGAAUAAGCACCGGCUAACUACGU